rnacentral:rRNA from 1 species
GUAACGCGUGGGUAACCUGCCAUAUACCGGGGGAUAACACUUAGAAAUAGGUGCUAAUACCGCAUAAGCGCACAGGGCCGCAUGGUCUGGUGUGAAAAACUCCGGUGGUAUAUGAUGGACCCGCGUCUGAUUAGCCAGUUGGCAGGGUAACGGCCUACCAAAGCGACGAUCAGUAGCCGGCCUGAGAGGGUGAACGGCCACAUUGGGACUGAGACACGGCCCAAACUCCUACGGGAGGCAGCAGUGGGGGAUAUUGCACAAUGGGGGAAACCCUGAUGCAGCGACGCCGCGUGAGUGAAGAAGUAUUUCGGUAUGUAAAGCUCUAUCAGCAGGGACGAAAAUGACGGUACCUGAGUAAGAAGCCCCGGCUAACUACGUG